AGCGGCGGACGGGUGAGUAAUGCCUAGGAAAUUGCCCUGAUGUGGGGGAUAACCAUUGGAAACGAUGGCUAAUACCGCAUAAUGCCUACGGGCCAAAGAGGGGGACCUUCGGGCCUCUCGCGUCAGGAUAUGCCUAGGUGGGAUUAGCUAGUUGGUGAGGUAAUGGCUCACCAAGGCGACGAUCCCUAGCUGGUCUGAGAGGAUGAUCAGCCACACUGGAACUGAGACACGGUCCAGACUCCUACGGGAGGCAGCAGUGGGGAAUAUUGCACAAUGGGCGCAAGCCUGAUGCGGCCAUGCCGCGUGUGUGAAGAAGGCCUUCGGGUUGUAAAGCACUUUCAGUCGUGAGGAAGGUAGUGUAGUUAAUAGCUGCAUUAUUUGACGUUAGCGACAGAAGAAGCACCGGCUAACUCCGUGCCAGCAGCCGCGGUAAUACGGAGGGUGCGAGCGUUAAUCGGAAUUACUGGGCGUAAAGCGCAUGCAGGUGGUUUGUUAAGUCAGAUGUGAAAGCCCGGGGCUCAACCUCGGAAUUGCAUUUGAAACUGGCAGA
rnacentral:rRNA from 1 species